GCCAGCAGCCGCGGUAAUACGUAGGUGGCAAGCGUUAUCCGGAUUUAUUGGGCGUAAAGCGAGCGCAGGCGGUUUUUUAAGUCUGAUGUGAAAGCCCUCGGCUUAACCGAGGAAGUGCAUCGGAAACUGGGAAACUUGAGUGCAGAAGAGGACAGUGGAACUCCAUGUGUAGCGGUGAAAUGCGUAGAUAUAUGGAAGAACACCAGUGGCGAAGGCGGCUGUCUGGUCUGUAACUGACGCUGAGGCUCGAAAGCAUGGGUAGCGAACAGGAUUAGAUACCCUGGUAGUCCAUGCCGUAAACGAUGAAUGCUAGGUGUUGGAGGGUUUCCGCCCUUCAGUGCCGCAGCUAACGCAUUAAGCAUUCCGCCUGGGGAGUACGACCGCAAGGUUGAAACUCAAAGGAAUUGACGGGGGCCCGCACAAGCGGUGGAGCAUGUGGUUUAAUUCGAAGCAACGCGAAGAACCUUACCAGGUCUUGACAUCUUUUGAUCACCUGAGAGAUCRGGUUUCCCCUUCGGGGGCAAAAUGACAGGUGGUGCAUGGUUGUCGUCAGCUCGUGUCGUGAGAUGUUGGGUUAAGUCCCGCAACGAGCGCAACCCUUAUGACUAGUUGCCAGCAUUUAGUUGGGCACUCUAGUAAGACUGCCGGUGACAAACCGGAGGAAGGUGGGGAUGACGUCAAAUCAUCAUGCCCCUUAUGACCUGGGCUACACACGUGCUACAAUGGAUGGUACAACGAGUUGCGAGACCGCGAGGUCAAGCUAAUCUCUUAAAGCCAUUCUCAGUUCGGACUGUAGGCUGCAACUCGCCUACACGAAGUCGGAAUCGCUAGUAAUCGCGGAUCAGCACSCCGCGGUGAAUACGUUCCCGGGCCUUGUACACACCGCCCGUCACACCAUGAGAGUUUGUAACACCCGAAGCCGGUGGCGUAACCCUUUUAGGGAGCGAGCCGUCUAAGGUG
rnacentral:rRNA from 1 species